CCUUGUACACACCGCCCGUCACGCCAUGGGAGUUGGUUUCACCCGAAGGUGGUGCGCUAACCGGUUUACCGGAGGCAGCCAACCACGGUGGGAUCAGCCGACUGGGGUG
rnacentral:rRNA from 1 species